CAAUGGACGGUACAACGAGUCGCAAACUCGCGAGAGUAAGCUAAUCUCUUAAAGCCGUUCUCAGUUCGGACUGUAGGUUGCAACUCGCCUACACGAAGUCGGAAUCGCUAGUAAUCGCGGAUCAGCAUGCCGCGGUGAAUACGUUCCCGGGCCUUGUACACACCGCCCGUCACACCAUGGGAGUUUGUAACGCCCAAAGUCGGUGGCCUAACCUUUAUGGAGGGGGCCGCCUAAGGCGGGACAGAUGACUGGGGUGAAGUCGUAACAAGGUACC
rnacentral:rRNA from 1 species